rnacentral:rRNA from 1 species
GCCAGUAGUGAUAUGCUUGUCUCAAAGAUUAAGCCAUGCAAGUCUAAGUACGAGCUCUCGUACAGCGAAACUGCGAAUGGCUCAUUAAAUCAGUUAUGGUUCAUUUGAUCGUAUGGUUUACUUGGAUAACUGUGGUAAUUCUAGAGCUAAUACAUGCAAACAGCGCCGACUUCGCGGGAGGCGUGCUUUUAUCAGACCAAAAACCGACCGCGGCUCCGGCCGCGUUCGACUGGUGACUCUGGAUAACCUGGCGGAUCGCACGGUCUAGCACCGGCGACGGAUCAUUCAAGUGUCUGCCCUAUCAACUUUCGUCGGUACGGUAUUCGCCUACCGAGGUUCUUACGGGUAACGGGGAAUCAGGGUUCGAUUCCGGAGAGGGAGCCUGAGAAACGGCUACCACAUCCAAGGAAGGCAGCAGGCGCGCAAAUUACCCAUUCCCGACGCGGGGAGGUAGUGACGAAAAAUAACAAUGCAGGACUCAUUCGAGGCCCUGUAAUUGGAAUGAGUACACUUUAAAAGCUUUAACGAGUAUCCAUUGGAGGGCAAGUCUGGUGCCAGCAGCCGCGGUAAUUCCAGCUCCAAAAGUAUAUAUUUAAGUUGUUGCGGUUGAAAAGCUCGUAGUUGGAUUUUGGGCGCGGGCGGUCGGUCCGUCGCGAGGCGUGUACUGGUCGACCCGGCCUUACGUCCGGUUCUCCGGCGGUGCUCUUGACUGAGUGUCGGCGGCGGCCGGAAAGUUUACUUUGAAAAAAUUAGAGUGUUCAAAGCAGGCUCUCGAGCCUGAAUAAUGGUGCAUGGAAUAAUGGAAUAGGACCUCGGUUCUAUUUUGUUGGUUUUCGGAGCGCCGUGAACGGACUGAUCCAGAAAGCAGCUUUUCAAGACGGGCGACAAAAGCAUCUAACGAAUGCGUCAAUAUAAGUCGAUGUGAAACAUGUAGUUUGUUGUAGAAAGUUGUACGCCGGGUGAAAGCGGCAUAACUUAACUGUUACAAAGAAAUGCAGAUAUAUUUAUUCUACUUAUUAUGAAACGAUAUUUGCGCGACGAGGACAGGAUACAGCUUGCUAGGCGAGCAAUUGUUU